rnacentral:lncRNA from 1 species
AUUUAAAGUCGCAGGGAAAUUUGCCAAUUCUUAUCACUGGUGGUUCUGAAAGAAAGUUGGUAGGGUCGUCCCAGAAAUAGGCAUAAUAGCGAUAUUGAGAUGCUGUGAAUUUAAGGCGGGUGUUUGUGGGAAUAUCCGCAAAGCCCUGCCUUUUUGUAGUGUAGCUUCUUGUUCCCCGUGGCCCCAAGUUGGGGCUACGUUUCCUCCCAGCAGCAGGGCAGCAGG